GGAUUCAAUGAAUAAAUCAGAUUUUGAGAGUUUUCUUGGUUUCUCCAAGGCUUCUUGAAUACCUUAGAAUUUCUCUAGGUGUUCGUGACUUAUCAAUCUAGAAUCGCACUAGGUUGUGGCGUCUUCUACCAUUAUACCAAGGUUCGUUAACCACGUGAUUAACGGGUUGAGGUCAUCCGCUCCAAACUUGGUGUCCUCUUGUCGAUCCUGAAUCUAAUCUUUUACGGGUUUCGUCACAAGGUUGGCGACGUUCGUAUCA
rnacentral:lncRNA from 1 species